AAAGUGUCAGAGUAAUCAACUCCAAAUAUUUGUGCAUAACCUUUUACUACAAGCCUUGCUUUGUGCUUGUUCACAGAACCAUCAGGAUUUAACUUGGUUCUGAAUACCCACUUGAUACCUAUGACAUUUCUAUCAUGAGGUUUUUGUACAAGCUCCCAAGUCUGGUUUUUUUCAAUCAUGGACAGCUCCUCUUGCAUUGCAGCCAUCCAUUUUGUGUUCUUCUUGGCCUCCUCAAAGCUUGCAGGCUCACAAACUGCUACAUUGCAUCUCUGAUAUAUGUCAGAAAGCAAUCUAGUGCCUCUAAUAGGUGGAUCAUCCAUCGUUUCUUCUGGUAUUAGUUGGGGAUUGAGAUUUUGAAUCUCCUUUGAAUCUUUCCAACUCCAUUGCUUGUCCUCCAUGAAAUGCACAUCCCUGCUUACAAGGAUUUUUUGUUUUUGAGGCUGAUAAAUUUUGUAAGCUUUAGAGAUAGUGCUAUAGCCAAUGAAUAUUCCAGGUUCUGCCCUUUGAUCAAGUUUGUCACGCUUGACCUGAGGUACAUGUGAGUAACAUAAACAACCAAAUAUCUUAAAAAAAUCCAAAGAAGGUUUGAAACCAAACCAAGCUUCAAAAGGUGUUUGAUUGUGCAAGGCUCGUGUUGGCAGCCUGUUUUGAAUGAAAACUGCAGUAUUUGCAGCUUCAGCCCAAAAUCUUUUUGGCAAGAUUUUUUGAUGAAGCAUGCACCUAGCCAUCUCCAUGAUUGAACGAUUUUUCCUUUCACUCACCCCAUUUUGUUGAGGAGUGUAAGGAGCAGUAAGUUGAUGUUCAAUUCCAGCUUCAGUGCAAAAUUGUUCAAAUUGAUCUGAAAGGUAUUCUUUCCCAUUAUCAGACCUUAGAACUUGAAUAUUACAGCUGCUUUGAUUCUCUACAUGGGCUUUAAAUCUCCAGAACAUUUGUGCCACCUCAGACUUGUAUUUAAGAAAAUAAAUCCAACACAUUCUG
rnacentral:misc_RNA from 1 species